rnacentral:tRNA from 1 species
GCCAUUGUGGCUCAAUGGUAGAGUGUCAGCCUGCACACUGGAGGGUCUCAGGUUCAAUUCCCAGCCAAGGGCA